rnacentral:rRNA from 1 species
GACGAACGCUGGCGGCGUGCCUAAUACAUGCAAGUUGAGCGCUGAAGGCUGGUACUUGUACCAACUGGAUGAGCAGCGAACGGGUGAGUAACGCGUGGGGAAUCUGCCUUUGAGCGGGGGACAACAUUUGGAAACGAAUGCUAAUACCGCAUAAAAACUUUAAACACAAGUUUUAAGUUUGAAAGAUGCAAUUGCAUCACUCAAAGAUGAUCCCGCGUUGUAUUAGCUAGUUGGUGCGGUAAAGGCUCACCAAGGCGAUGAUACAUAGCCGGCCUGAGAGGGUGGUUGGCCACAUUGGGACGGGGACACGGCCCAAAGGCCUACGGGAGGCGGCAAUAGGGAAUCUUCGGCAAUGGGCGGAAGUCUGUCCAAGAAACGCCGCGGGAUGGAAGAGGGUUUUCGGAUCGGAAAACACGGUUUGUAGGGAAGAACGUUGUUUAGGGUGGAAAGCUCAGCAAGUGACGGUAACUGCACAGAAAGCGACGGCUAACUACGUG